rnacentral:rRNA from 1 species
GACGAACGCUGGCGGCGUGCUUAACACAUGCAAGUCGAACGGAAAGGCCCUGCUUUUGUGCGGUGCUCGAGUGGCGAACGGGUGAGUAACACGUGAGUAACCUGCCCUUGACUUUGGGAUAACUUCAGGAAACUGGGGCGAAUACCGGAUAGGAGCUCCUGCUGCAUGGGGGGGGUUGGAAAGUGUCGGCGGUUGGGGAUGGACUCGCGGCUUAUCAGCUUGUUGGUGGGGUAGUGGCUUACCAAGGCUUUGACGGGUAGCCGGCCUGAGAGGGGGAACGGCCACAUUGGGACUAAGAGACGGACCAGAAUCCUACGGGAGGCAGCAGUGGGGAAUAUUGCAGAAUGGGCGGAAGCCUGAUGCAGCAACGCCGCGUGCGGGAUGACGGCUUUCGGGUUGUAAACCGCUUUCGCCUGUGACGAAGCGUGAGUGACGGUAAUUGGUAAAGAAGCACCGGCUAACUACGUG